rnacentral:rRNA from 1 species
UACAGAGGGGGCAAGCGUUGUUCGGAAUUACUGGGCGUAAAGGGCGCGUAGGCGGCCUGUUAAGUCGAACGUGAAAUCCCCGGGCUCAACCCGGGAACUGCGUCCGAUACUGGCAGGCUUGAAUCCGGGAGAGGGAUGCGGAAUUCCAGGUGUAGCGGUGAAAUGCGUAGAUAUCUGGAGGAACACCGGUGGCGAAGGCGGCAUCCUGGACCGGCAUUGACGCUGAGGAGCGAAAGCGUGGGGAGCGAACAGG